UACGGAGGGAGCUAGCGUUAUUCGGAAUUACUGGGCGUAAAGCGCACGUAGGCGGCUUUGUAAGUUAGAGGUGAAAGCCUGGAGCUCAACUCCAGAAUUGCCUUUAAGACUGCAUCGCUUGAAUCCAGGAGAGGUGAGUGGAAUUCCGAGUGUAGAGGUGAAAUUCGUAGAUAUUCGGAAGAACACCAGUGGCGAAGGCGGCCCACUGGACUGGUAUUGACGGCUGAGGUGCGAAAGCGUGGGGAGCAAACAGG
rnacentral:rRNA from 1 species